rnacentral:rRNA from 1 species
UACAGAGGUCUCAAGCGUUGUUCGGAUUCAUUGGGCGUAAAGGGCUCGUAGGUGGCCAACUAAGUCAGACGUGAAAUCCCUCGGCUUAACCGGGGAACUGCGUCUGAUACUGGAUGGCUUGAGUUCGGGAGAGGGAUGCGGAAUUCCAGGUGUAGCGGUGAAAUGCGUAGAUAUCUGGAGGAACACCGGUGGCGAAGGCGGCAUCCUGGACCGAUACUGACACUGAGGAGCGAAAGCCAGGGGAGCAAACGGG